AGAUAGGUGUUGCUGAGUGACUGGACAGAUUUCUUCUGCUUUCAGUCUCUUUUCAUGGGUCCUUCAGAAUGAGUUUUGGAAAGGAGAAAAACAAAAAGAGACCAGAAGGAACUGAGAAGCUCAAAGCAUCAAAGGACACAGCAAUAUGAGAGGCCAACAACUGAUAUACAAGCCACACCGAGAAGAUUGCCAUUUGCAAGAGAGCUAUUAAUGAAAGUCACACACCUGAAGCUCUAAAAGCAGCCCAGGGAAUGGGGAAAAUUCCCUGUCUCCAAAACAGGAGAUGAAGCCACUGUGAAGCCAAUAGCAAAAAAGUGAUCAGGCCAGAAAUCCUGCUGACUCAGGAAAUUCUAUUCUGCCGUUAGACGAAGCUAAAUAUCAGAGCACCUACUCUGCCGUAUAUUCUUAAUAGGGUUCCUGUACUUAGCUAUGUAACAGCCUAUGGGGUUUAACUCAUUCGCUAAAGAAACAUAUUGAAUGAGGACCCUGGGCCAAAGCACCACAUAUAGUCGUCCAUCGGUAAAGUGGGGCAUAAGUGGGGAUUGGUCAUAGAUUUGGGGAUUCAAAGGUGCUCAAAUCUCUUAUACAAAGUGAUGUAAUGAGUAAGAAGGAACUAAGCGCACACAUUCUCUGAGCACCUGCCACGCGCAAACACAGUGCUAAAUGCUUCCACAUGUAUUAUCUUUUUAAAAUGACUUUUUUUUUUAGAUAAGAUCUUGCUCUGUCACCCAGACUGGAAUGCAGUGAUGUGAUCACAACUCACUGCAGCCUUGACCUCCUAGGCUCAAGCAAUCCUCCCUCCUCAGUCUUCCAGGUAGCUGGGACUACAGGCUCGCACCAUCACAUCUGGCUAAAUUUUUUCUUUUUUGUAGAGGUGGGGUCUCACUAUGUUGCCCAGGCCCGUAGACUUUAUUUAUUAGAGUAGUUCUAGGUUCACAGUAAAAUUAAGCUGAAGGUGAGGAAAUUUUCGAUACACCUCCUGCCCCCAACACAUGCACAGUUUCCCCCAUUAUUAUCAACCCCCACCAGAGCGGUACAUUUGUUGCAGUCAAUGCACCUACACUGACACACUGAUCUUAUUUAGACCUUAGUUCCAGCGUCUCUGGAAGAGUGGCAGUUUUCUCAUUGGCUGACCCUAUUGCCUGGUCUCGCUGCUCGGUGCAAAGGCCUUUAGAAAUUCUCUGCUUUGACUGACUGGCUAACAAGUGGAGAUUUGUACCCGAAGCAUCGAAUCUGUAUAGGAAUCAAGCACAUGGAAAAAUCUUUGAUUCCUCCAGUGUCUUGGAUCUCAAGGAAAGCUCCAGCCUCAGCCUUGGUGGAGGCAGCAGCCCCGGGCUCAGAGAAGGAAGGUAUUCAGAUGACAGGAUUCAGACAUCUCAGGAUGACCAAAGAGUAUCCAACCAUUCACCAAGGAGCAGAAGCUUCCCUAUCACUGACAGACAGUACUUCCUGCGGUGUCCCCAGCAUCCCCCAGAAACUGUGGACAAGGCACAAGAAGAAGUCUGAAUAUGUGAAAGCCAGCAACAGCGCCUUUGAGGCCGACUAACGGUGACCCUCCCCGGGUACCCUGCACUGGCUGAGGUUGACUAGACAAGGGGAGAAGGGCCAGGACUGGAGCUGAGCCACACUCAUUUCUGCUAGCAGCUUGGUGCAAACAUAUCAUCCUCUCUCACUAACUGAUCACCCUGCCUUAGGACACAGAAAAGGAACAUCCCUUGAAGGCAAAAUGAAACUGUUCCUUCUUAGAACUGCUAAAGCUGUUGGCCAGAAAGUGACUUUGAGAGGUCAUAAAGUUUAUAUCUCUAUCUUCAAGCAAAAUCACACCUACAUGGAACUUUCCCAGCCUAAAGACCUCCAAGGAAGGAAGGCGACAACUCCCCCGUCUUCCUUGUGAGUUGCUGGUGUUCUAGGGUGUGUAACUUUCUGGUCUUACUGUAAGAGCUUGACCCUGAGGCACUUAUAAACACAUGGUUCUUACCGUUCCUAUUAUCGCAUUUAUUUCACCUUGAUGAGGUAUACUUUUUAAGGAACAAGCAUAUAUCAACUUAGUAGUUCUAGUAUCUACUGAAGAGUACCAUCAAGAUUGAUUGUGAUGGUCAUUUGGCAUGACUGCAUGAAUUCUUUAUUCUUUUAUGUGCAGUUUUUCUAUAGAAAAACACUGAAAGUUAAAAGUUGAAAAAAAUAAAACCAUGUAGCAUUUGCACAUAACAUAUUUACAUCUUCCCAUAUACUUUAAGUCAUCUCUAGGUUUCGUAUAAUACCUAAUACAAUGUAAAUGCUAUGUAAAUAGUUGUUAUACUACAUGAAUAAAUAAUGACAAGAAACAGAUGUCCAUACAUGUUCAGACACAACAUUCUUCCACAUAUUUUGAUCUGAGGUUGAUUGAAUGCAUGAUGCAGAACCCAUAGAAACAGAGAGCUAAGUGUAUUAGAAUUUUUCUCCUGGCUUCCAUAAAGCACACCUGUAGGCAAUCACAGUCUAGGGUACAAGAAAGUCCAGUUUUGCCGUUUAAUAGGUGUGUGACUUUAAGAAGGGCAAUAAUAAUUCCAGUUCCCACUCAGCUAAGUAUAACCUACCAUCCAGGUCACAUUUACUGCCUACUUACUGUCUUUCCAAAACUGUCUAAGCCCCUUCUAACCACUAAAUGUUGGUGAGGUAUUCCAUGAGGUAAUGAUGCAGUGAGGCACAGAGAUGUUAAAAUAACUUGCCCAAGGUGACACAGAUAGAAGCAAAUCAGACUAUCCAAUUCAAGGGCACACUCCAACCACUAUGCUGCACUGCCUCUGGUAACACAGAAUAUCCUUUAAGAGAAGAACAGGGCCAAGUACAAUGGCACCCCUGUAGUUCCAGCU
rnacentral:lncRNA from 1 species